UACAGAGGUCUCAACCGUUGUUCGGAUUCAUUGGGCGUAAAGGGUGCGUAGGCGGUCGGGUAAGUCGGCUGUGAAAUCUCAGGGCUCAACCCUGAAACUGCAUUCGAUACUGCCUGGCUAGGGUACUGGAGAGGAGACUGGAAUUUACGGUGUAGCAGUGAAAUGCGUAGAUAUCGUAAGGAAGACCAGUGGCGAAGGCGAGUCUCUGGACAGUUACCGACGCUGAGGCACGAAGGUCAGGGGAGCAAACGGG
rnacentral:rRNA from 1 species